AGUUUUGUUCAUAAAUCUAAAUGUUCCCAUGGCUAAAACCCAAUAUUGCAAUUGUAAAGCAACAGGCCAGAUUUCCCUAUCAGUUUGUAUUAAGGGAGGCCAGGCCUCCCCUAGGAAAUUAGCUUCUCAUAGAAGUCAAUGUAAUGCAUGCUUUUUCAUGCCAAUAUGUGAUUGGCCAGAUCACUGAAAAUGGGUGGGCAACGGAGGCCUGGCCUCACCAUGCAUUGUGUCCAGGGCUGAAAGAUUGACAUUUUGUUCGUCCAAUCACAUGCUACUGGUUCAUUUGGAAUCAAUCCUUUCCUUUCCUAAUCAACACAGAAGCCAUUUUGACAAUUCGCCAGCCACUUCAGUCAAACAAACACUCGCCAUAGUGGCUACGAGUGUCCUAUCAACUUGUGCUUUUCAGGAAAUUUAGAGAACACCCCUGGCUAUCAUCCGUGAAGUUUAUAGCUCAUAUAGCCAAAUACUUUUGCUUAAAACGACCUCGGAAAUCGGCGAGAUUCUGGCGCAAUUUGAGAUCUUGGGCUGGAGAUAGAUAUGCGUUAACGUUAAACCCUUCACUCUAGGCAUUUCUCCUUGAGUUGACAACAUCUCUGAGACAGAUUUCGAAAGCAAAAGCUGCUGCUGCUAAUCGCUCAUUGACAUUUAUCUCUGUAGUUUGGACAUUUUUACAGUUGAAGUUUAGCUCAUUGUUUUCCAUCCAGUUAGCUGGAUAAUCUGGGGAUGGAUGGCUGAGUUGGACACGUUCUGGAUCCACACGACCUUAGAUGAAGCCAGCUGCAACCCGUAGAGUGGAGUCGUGGAGAGAGCCCCUCGCCCCUCAGCUAAACCAGAGUAAAUGAAGCCAGCACCAACCUGUGGAGUGGAGUCCAGGAGAGAGCAUGCCGCCCCUCAGCUAAACCAGAUCAGAUAAAGCCAACUGGAAC